rnacentral:rRNA from 1 species
GACAGAGGGUGCAAACGUUGUUCGGAUUUACUGGGCGUAAAGCGUGUGUAGGCGGCUUCGUAAGUUGGAUGUGAAAUCCCACGGCUCAACCGUGGACGUGCAUCCAAAACUACGUCGCUGGAGUCUCGGAGAGGAAGGUGGAAUGCUUGGUGUAGAGGUGAAAUUCGUAGAUAUCAAGUAGAACACCUGCGGCGAAGGCGGCCUUCUGGACGAUGACUGACGCUGAGACACGAAAGCGUGGGGAGCAAACAGG